GCCCGCUUGGCUCAGCGGUAGAGCGCCUCACUAGUAUCGCAAGACUCACCACCUGUAUGCCAUGAGGAAGUGACUGGUUCGACUCCAGUAGUGGGCA